GACGAACGCUGGCGGCGUGCUUAACACAUGCAAGUCGAACGGAAAGGCCCUGCUUUUGUGGGGUGCUCGAGUGGCGAACGGGUGAGUAACACGUGAGUAACCUGCCCUUGACUUUGGGAUAACAUCAGGAAACUGGGGCUAAUACCGGAUAGGAGCUCCUGCUGCAUGGUGGGGGUUGGAAAGUUUCGGCGGUUGGGGAUGGACUCGCGGCUUAUCAGCUUGUUGGUGGGGUAGUGGCUUACCAAGGCUUUGACGGGUAGCCGGCAUGAGAGGGUGGCCGGGCACAUUGGGACUGAGAGACGGACCAGACUCCUACGGGAGGCAGCAGUGGGGAAUAUUGCACAAUGGGCGGAAGCCUGAUGCAGCAACGCCGCGUGCGGGAUGACGGCUUUCGGGUUGUAAACCGCUUUCGCCUGUGACGAAGCGUGAGUGACGGUAAUGGGUAAAGAAGCACCGGCUAACUACGUG
rnacentral:rRNA from 1 species